UAAAACUGUAAAAAAAAAAAAUUUGAUCAUUCUUUAACUUAAAAAAGAAAAUCCUAAACAAAAGAGAUUUGUAUCAUAUUUUUUAAUUCCUAACCAAAAAAAAUUGUAAGAAGUUAUUUGAUAGUAUAUUUUAAAAGAAAAUUUGAUGAAGAACAUGAUACUAAAAAUUAUUUAAUCAAAAAUGAAGUGUAAAAAUAGUAUUGAUAUGAGCUGUAAAAAUCAUACUUUUAAAAUUAUUUAAUAGUAACUAGAAAUAAUUAUUUGAUAGCAAUAAGAUUUUUCUGAAAUUCUAAACAGAAGAUAAUUGUAAAAGUUUAUUUGAUAAUACUUUUCCUUUUCCAAAAUCGUAAACAAAAAUAUAAAAAGUUUUUGAUAGUUUUUCUUUUUUUUAAUUGUAAACAAAAACAAGAUUUGUAAAAUAUAAUUUUUUUCCUUUAAAAAAAAAAUCCCAACAAAAGUAAACAUACAUAUUUAAUAGUAUUUUAGAAAAAAAAAUAGAUGACAAGUAUGAUGUUAAAGCUAUUAAAUUUACAAAAACCAAAACUUAGAAUGUUAUCGUGAUUGGUAUUUAUGUGUUUGGUUAUACGACAGUCAAACACAUGUUUGAUAUAUAUAUUCUCAUGUUUGCUCAUAAAAAUUGAUUAUUAUUACUGUCACCGUACAUAUGUUUAGUCAAAACAAAUCAAGCUUCAUCGUUAUCUUAUUACAUUUUUUAUUUUACUAAGUAGUAGUUUUUUAUUUAUUUUAAUUAAAAUAUUAUUAUGAAAAUAUAUCAUUAAUAAAUAAUGAAUCCAGAAAAUUAUUUAACAUCAGAUAAGUUUAAUAAAACAUUAAAUUAGUACAUAAGAAAGUGUAUAAGGUUGUUAUUUCUUCUUGGCCUUAUUUAACUUCCAAAUUCCUUUUUAUUUCAUUAUAAUUAUUAUUUCGGGUUGGAUCCUGUUUAAAUUUUUACGUUUGAAUGUUUUUUCUAGCUCUAACAAAUAUUAACUGAAACUUAUGUGUAAAAAAGAGUUCUUAAUUAUAAAAUAAAGUUCACAUAAUAUAUGCAAAAUAAUUUAAAAACAAUAAUAAAAUGAUUUUUAAUAUUUUUUUUUUAAAAUAAAAUAUCAAAUAAAGCUCUCUUAAAAUUCUAUCAUGCUCAUCAUCAAACACUCUCUUAAAAAUAAUAUCAUAUAUAUGUUUACAAUUCUCUUUUCGUUAGGACUAAAAAGUAUUAUACAAAUUUCUUUUGUUCAGGAUUUUUUUUUAUAAAAGAGGAAAACAUCUAUCAAAUAUUCUUUUACAGUUUUGUAUGAUUUUAGAAAAUAAAAAUAAUAUUACAUAAUAUUUUACAAUUAUAUUUUGUCUAGGAUUUAAAAAAAUAGAAUUUAUAUCAAAUAACUAUUUCCAGUUAAUAUUAAAUAUUUUAAAAGUUGCAAUUUUCAAAAUUUUCUUUUUUUCAAUAUCAUUAAUAUUGUUACAAUUUUUCUUGUUAAUUGAAUAAUUGUUACUAUCAUGUUUAUCAUUAAAUUAUUGAAGUAAAAAUUGCUUGGUUUUUCAAAGUUGCUAAUUAACAUGAUCGCGACAUGUGUCAAUUAAUUUAUUAAGAUUGUGACAUGUGUCAAAAAUAUGUUAUAAUUCUCUUUUAUAAGGAAUUAAAAAGAUUGAAAUUUAUUAUUACAUUUUUCGGACACUAGAAAAGGAAAAUUAUUACCCAAAAUAGUUUAUUGUUAUUUUUAGGAGUUUAGAAAAGGAAAAUUACUAUUACAUAGCCUUUAACAAUUAUAUUUUCAUGGUUCUUUUAUAGUCUUUUAAAAAUAUUUGAUAGUAAAUUUAAUUUUGAAAAUUCUAUAAACAAAGAAUGAUUGUAAAAAGCUAUUUGGAAGUUUUUUUUUCUUUUUAAAAUAUUUUUUAUAUUUUUCAUCUUUAAAGAUACUAAAGAAAGAUAUUAUAAAAGAAAAUAUUAAAUUUUUAAAAACAAAAUCUUAAAUAAAAACUAAUUAUAAAAUCUUACAAGUACAAGAAAUUAUUUAAUAAAAAUCAAAUAGAAAAACUAACUACAAAAUAAGUGAUAUUCCCUUUUUAAAACCUAAGAAAAUAAAAAUGUAAAAGGACUCUUAAAAUUUAAUGAUAAAUGUGAUAUUGAAAAUAUUUAAUUAAAAAUAUUAGUGAUAUUGAGAAAACGAAUUUUGAAAAGAACAACUUUUUAAAAUAGUUAAUAUUUGCUGGAAAUAAUUAUUUGAUAGUGUUUUGAUUUUCUAAAUCGUAGAAAAAAAUUAUAAAUUAUUAUGUAAUUUUAAUUUUCUUUUCUAACACCCUAAAACUGUAAAAAAUAUUUGAUAGUUCUUUUCCUUAAAAAAGAAAAUCCUAAACAAAAGAGAUUUGUAUCAUAUUUUUUAAUUCAUGACCAAAAGAAAAUUGUAAGAGGUUAUUUGAUAGUAUAUUUUAAGAGAAAAUUUGAUGAUGAACAUAAUACCAAAAAUUAUUUGAUUAAAAAUGAACUGUAAAAAAAGUAUUGAUAUGAACUGUAAAAAUCAUAAUUUUAAAAUUAUUUAAUAGUAACUAGAAAUAACUAUUUGAUAGCAAUAAGAUUUUUCUGAAAUUCUAAACAUAAGAUAAUUGUAAAAGUUUAUAUAAUAAGAUACUUUUCCUUUUUUAAAAUCGUAAACAAAAACAUAAAAAAGUUUUUGAUUGUUUUUCUUUUUUUUUUAAUUGUAAAUAAAAACGAAAUUUGCAAAAAAAAAAAAUCCUUUUUAAAAAAUCCUAACAAAAGUAAAUAUACCUAUUUAAUAAUAUUUUUAAAAAAGAAUUUUAUGACAAGUAAGUUUCUAAAGCUAUUAAAUUAACAAAAAUCAAAACUUAGGAUGUUGUCGUGAUUGGUAUUUAUGUGUUUGGUUAUACGAAAAUUAAAGACACGUUUGAUAUAUAUAUAUUCUCAUGUUUACUCAUAAAAAUUGGUUAUUAUUAUUGUCAUCGUACAUAUGUUUAGUCAAAAACAAAUCAAGCUUAAUCGUUAUCUUAUUACAUUUUUUUAUUUUUACUAUGUAGUAGUUUAUUAUAAUUCAUUUUAAUUAAAAUGUUAUUACGAAAAAUAUAUCAUUAAUAAGUAAUAAAUCAAGAAAAUUAUUUAACAUCAGAUUAGUUUAAUAAAACGUUAAAUUAGUACAUAAGAAAGUGUAUAAUGUUGUCAUUGCUUCUUGGCCUUAUUUAACUUCCAAAUUCUUUUUUUAUUUCAUUAUAAUUAUUAUUUCGGAUUAAAUCCGGUUUAAAUUUUUACGUUUGAAUGUUUUUUCUAGCUCUAACAAAUAUUAACUGAAACUUAUGUAUGAAAAAGAGUUUUUAACUAUAAAAUAAAUUUUACAUAACAUAUGCAAAACAAUUUUAAAACAAUAAUAAAACGAUUUUUUAAUAUUUUGUAUUAAAUUAAAAUAUUAAAUAAAGCUUGUUGCAAUGUACGGAUCCAAAUCUAGUAUAUUAUAAUAUAUCAGUUUUUGCUCAUUCCUAAAGGCAUCCACGUCGGCAAUAUGAGGGACCUACGCUCUGGUUUUUUUUUAUUUUUAAAAACAUUAAUAUAACAUAUCAUAAAAGCCCACUACUCUUUUCUCGGUCGUUUGCGACGCUUAAGAACAACUCUAAUUUAUUGCUUCAGAAGCUCAACCAUCGUCCUUACAUUCACCAAGGCAGAUAAUAAAUUAUUUCAAUCCAGAUUUUUCGUUUUCAAUCUUUUUCAAUUGUUAUUGUUACUUCAAUUUAUAAUUUGUAUUCCUCUUCGUCGUCAGGUUCACUCUCGAUUUCUAGGAUCUGAUUUCGUUUUGAUGUUCGUUGAAUGAUCUUAUAGAGAAACAUGUACGAUUCUUUUGGCCUGUUAAGAGUUCUGAGAAGAUUAAGCAUCAUCAGUUUUCUUUUUGUUCUCCUUGAUUACAUGUUUGAAUAUAGCUCAGGCAACCGGAGCUUCUAGCUCUAGUGGUAAAGGGUUUACAGCUGUGAGUACCGCCACCUGGAGAGAAAAAUGUUGUAGACUUUUUAUAUCAUGCUUCUUAAAUAGACUUUGAUUUCUGAGACAAAAUCCUUUCCACCAAGAUUAGCAGGCAUAGCUUCCACAAGCAAGGUUUGGGAGUAGGGAGAGGUCUCGCACUGUAAUCAAUGAGCUCGGGUCUCUGAAACUGGAAUUUGACAAGAUAUAAGCCUUUGUAAUCAAAGUUUUACGAGGAGAUGACAGCUCCAGAAGCAAAAUAUCAAAAGUUUUAUAAGCCUUUGUAGACCAAGACGCAGGGAUUCACUGAUUUUCCACUUUACUUCUGAAAUGGAACACACCGAUACCUACAAGGAGUUAAUGAACAAAAGCGCUUACGCAGCCAGCAACUACAAGAACAACCACUAAAGAAGAAACAUAGCUUCUUGGAGUGGGGGAGUUGCAAGAGGAACAUACAUGGGAGGAGGUGAUGGAGAAACAAUUUUUAAUACCUGUUAAAAAGGUUUUGCCUUGACUAUUUUUCUCGGGUUAUGUAGAAACAAUUUUCAGAUUCUCAGAUUAUUAGAAUCUGAAAAGGACAUGACAUACCCAACUCCAUCAAAUUUAGUUGAUAUUUGUCUUAUAUAUAUAUAUAUAUCUAAAAUUAUACAAAAUAACUUAAAUGAAACUAUUAAUAAUUAAAAUAAAAUAUUUCUAAACUCUAAAUUUUAUAUUUUAAAGUUUCAUAUCACUUAAAAUGUUACAAAAUAAUAACAAAUGUUGUUAACAAAAGAUAUUUUAACUAAAUCAUAAAAUAAUAUAUAAAAUAAAACACAAAAAAUCAUAGUGUUAGAUAUACAUGUUUAUAAGUCGGGUACAAAUCGCUUCUUAUCAGGUCGGAUCUAUUCGGAUCGGUUAUUUUCGGGUCUAUUCAAAUCGGUUCUUUUUGGUUUUGGUUCUUUCGGGUAAAAGAAAUUUAGACCCAAAAAGUACUUACAACCACCUAAAUUCAACCAUAGAAAGUGAAUAAACACUAACACCCAAGAGUAACUAGUUCUAGUAAGGAAAAAACAUUUUAAUAUGAGCAAUAGUCGCCAUAUAAUGAGAGUUCAGCUUUCGGACCAAAGCUUCUUCACCGAACGGUGCAAUCCCAACUUGACCAAGCGUCAUAGAGCUCUAAUGCCUCACUGCAAUGGAACUAUUCCGUACUGAAAAAAGCGAGCCUUGACCAACCAGCAACAGCAAUGGACCCGUCUCAGCAGACAUGGCGUCCAAAAAUGUGGGUCUGUACCGCCGACGAGACAAAAGAGCCACCACGUACCUACUACAAAGCUCCUCCCACCGGUUGACAACUCCGACGACUUGAAGCCUUUGCGACAUGCCUUCCCCGAGAACCGAGGAAAGGACCAUUUUCCACCACCACGUUCGCGUCGUUAGGGAGGGGAUAUCCACGUUGGAGAAGGUGCUCCACUGAGUCACGCACCGCCGUCGUCGUGGAGGGAUCGCCAGGGGGGGGGAAAUAAGAUCUGGAGUCACACUUUAGCUCUAAAAGCCAACCUCCAUCACUACCGCUGCUCCGCAGUCAGUCUCGUAUUCCUCCAAGCCCUCGGAAAGAGUCACCUUUGACCUUAAGCUUUCGGUGAAUCACCAAAGAUUCAGAACAACACACAUAUCGACAGGGAGAGAAACGGUGGAGAGAGAAGAAAAUGAAAAACAAGCUGAAAGGAAAGGAUGGCACCUCUGGGCCGGUGACAAUAGAUUCUUCACCGGUGGGUUUUCUUCUUGCAUGGAGCGUUUGAGAGAAUAUGAUUAGAAAAUGCUAACGAGAACGUAUUUUGUUAAAGAAUAUGAUUAGAAAAUGCUAAGAUUCGAAGACAAUAACAUCUUUUAAUUGGAAUCAGAAUAGGAGUAGAUAUAUGUUAUACCAUGCACAGGAAAUCCAUUUGCUUAGACAUUUUCCUAUUUGCUUCAUCUUCUUAUGCUUCAUCUUUAAAAAGAAAAAAAAAAACUAUUCUUGUCGUGUAUUAAAGAUAUGCUUUACACACUAUUAUUUGAGUCUUGUUAUUUCUUAUUGUAUAUUCAGGGCAGGGCCGGCCUUGUUCUAAAGCCCAUGAAGCAAAGGUUUCAGGCGCCAGAGAAUAUAUAAAUUAUAAGGACUCCAAAAUUUUGUAAAUCCUUUUAGUGUUAUAGUUUCAGACUUCUAUUUGUUCCAGAUGGGUGCUAGGUUCGAAGCCACACACAGAUUCUUUUUUUUUUCAAAUUUUAUUACAUUCUUUUAAUAAUGAUAAUAAGUGAAAUCAUUAGUCAAGAACUCAAGAUACAACCGCAUUUUGAAACAUAUUAGUUUCUUCCCUUUUUUUAACAAUUUUGAUUUUUGUAUAUGUUGAAUUAUAUUAAAAUGUUAAAUGUGAUUUGAUU